GGUGUUUUUGUUCACUGAGUCAACCAAUAUUUGAGGACCUAUGAUGUGCCAGAGCCUGAGCGUGGCCUUGGAGAAGGGUUUGGUUCUGUCACUCAUCGGGUUCCUCCAGAAGCAGUCUUCAAGCCAAGAAUUGAGCAUAAGUGGUUUGCUAAUACCCAGCCCCAGAAGAAGAAACCAGUAAGGGCAUAGAAGAAGCAGACUGAGGAGAGGGAAGAACCUAAGAGAGAUUGUUUAUUUACGAAGGAUAACGCGGCCUCCUGUAUCAUCUCAGUUCCCACAGUAAAAAAUAAUCAUGCUGCUCUGUGAAAAACUGGACAGUUGCUGAAUAUAGAAAGAGGCCCAGUAGGCUACACUUGUAACAUGUCUAUUAAAAAUCUAUAAAUGGCUUCUGAGGAAAAAAAGUUCUGGGCAGAAGUUCUUAACUGUUCUUAUGCCAUUGACCCCUUUGAAGGUCUGGUGAAGACUGUAAUCCUUUCUGAGAAUAACACUUCUAUAUGCGUAAAAGUAAGAUUACAGUGGUAACCACUUACAUUGAAACACAGCUAUUGAAAUAGUAAAAAGAAAAUUCUGAUCUAGAAAUAGAGGUGUUUAUUAACAAGUUAAGGGAAAAAAAUCUAAUGGUGGUUCUAAUAACUAUCAGAAGUUGAAAAGCGAUGAGCGUAAAUGAUAUUUCAAGAUUAUCCAACUGUUAUUGUGACAAGAAAAUGUCUAUUAUUCCUAUUAGUAGAAAUAUGGUUCUGUUAAAUAUGCUUGUCGUUCAUUGCCUGAAGGAAAUGAUAAAUUCCAAUUAGAAGUUAGUGAAAAUGAAUAUGUAAUUUCUUUUCCAUUUAAAUUCACAGACCCCUCCCUGAAUUCUAUCCUAAAGUUACUGUAAACUACCAAAGGAGUUGGUUCCUUCAGAUGUAUUCAUACAGAUAUCUCCCUCUCCAUAUCACACUGUAGAAGAUUUCAGUACUGAAGUCAAAAAACCAAAAAAAAAAAAAAAAAAAAAAGAAAAAAAAAUCAGAACUCUUUACCCCUCCCCCCCUUCCAGAUGCAUUGUUGACUGGGUAUGAAUGCUGCAGAAGCAGCUGCAGAGGGUUUGGAAGCUGACCCCGGAGGGGUCUGGCUGGAGCCCCUGCCCCCUCCAAGGCACAGGCCUGUAGAGAAAGGGGUCACACAUUUCCUUUGAACUAAUGUCAUCAGCCAGGGUAUGAAGGGACCUCCCUCCACUCUAGGUUAGAGCAAGGUUGAGGAGGAAAAAAUGGAGCACAAACUAGGGAAUAAAAUGAGAAAAAAGGAACAAGAGGAGCAAAAGAAUCUGGAAACUUCAGACUUGGAACAGAAUGUAAAAAAUGAUCAGUUUUAACUCCUACCUUUUACUGAAACCCUACGAUAGCCAACCUUUGCUUGCCCACUCUUAUUAGAGACUUGUCUUUGCGAAAGCUCUUUUCAUUUUGCCUGGUUCACAUGAUUAGUAAGCCCCUUCUUAUAUCAAGACUCUUUUCUUGAAACUUUAGCUUGGAAUAUCUAGGUGGUUUAUUCCCACUUCCCAAAUUCUGAUAACCUCCUGCUGUUUUCUUUGUUCUUUCACUUUGGAGACUGACUUAAUAAAAAGGUCAGUAGAUAAACAGAAUACCUUCAUUUUACCAUUGCCAGUUUGGCAGUUUUCAAGAGCACUUUUAAAUUUAAAAUAAGAAUUUCCAAAGAGGAAAACUGGUCAACUGUAAAACCACUAAUUUUGUGAAUUUUCCAAGUUAGGAAAACAUACCUGGAGAUGUCUGUAAAUGAUUAAAUGUGGAAUCUGAGCUGUAUGAAACCUACAUCAAAGCACUAAAUUAUGCCGGUUUAAGAGAAGAAGUUAUUCUUUUGGUUUUUCUCCUCCGUCCACAUUUGACUAGUUUGGUAAAGGAAAUAUGCAUUUUAAACAUGUUUUCCAAUACACUCAAUUACAUAAUUAAAGUCUGCAGAAAAACAUUAAUGUGGUCAGGUGUAUUAAAUAAAGAUGGAAUUCGCUUAACUAAAACACUUAAAAAAAAAGUUCUGCAAAUUCAUAUCAUUUGUAUAAUACAUGCAGAAUUGUAUGACCGUAAGUACCUGUAAGUAUGGCUUCCUAUUUUAAGUUAAUCUAUCUUUUUAAAAAAUGUGAGCAUUGUACAUUUGCCCAAGUAACAUAAAAUGCCCAUCAGCAUGCCUGUCAGAUGGAAAUUGUUGUGCUGUGUUGCUUAUUAUAAAAACAAAUAGCACAUUGAUCUUUUUUUCUCAGUUUCUUUCAGUUCAUGUGCUACCGAAGUGAGCACUGAGUACGUUUGUUUUAGACUCUGAGUUGUUUGGUGCAGAACAGUCCUGUUUACGAUUGUGCUGUAAGAGUGAAAACAAAAUAGUUCUAUUCAAGAAGUUAAACCCUCCCAUAGCGUGUACUUUUCAUGCAGCUGAAGAAUAUGUGACCAAACUAAAAGAGUAAACCAUGCUGGGCACUGUAGAAAUAUCAAGUCUUGGUGAUGAUAAAGUAUACAUGAAGACCUCCUCCCCCUCCCCCAGUGAAUUUCCUUUAUACUCUCCAUACCUCCAUG